GGCUCCUGUGGAGGCCUGCUGGGGACAGGACUUCUAAAAGGAACUAUGUCUGGAAGGCUGUGGUCCAAGGCCAUUUUUGCUGGCUAUAAGCGGGGUCUCCGGAACCAAAGGGAGCACACAGCUCUUCUUAAGAUUGAAGGUGUUUACGCCCGAGAUGAAACAGAAUUCUAUUUGGGCAAGAGAUGCGCUUAUGUAUACAAAGCAAAGAACACAGUGACUCCUGGCGGCAAACCGAACAAAACCAGAGUCAUCUGAGGAAAGGUAACUUGGGCCCAUGGAAACAGUGGCAUGGUUCGUGCCAAAUUCCGAAGCAAUCUUCCUGCAAAGGCCAUUGGACACAGAAUCCGAGUGAUGCUGUACCCCUCAAGGAUUUAAACUAACGAAAAAUCAAUAAAUAAACGUGGAUUUGUGCUCUUGUAUUUUUGUUAAGUGGAUUAAAAAACUUAAUACCU